CUCCAGCGCAGCCUGACGGAGCAGUUCCGAGUCUCGACCCGCAGCGGCUUGUCGGAAUGUUUCCAGGCAGCUUGCGGACAGGAUCCAGGGACCUGUGGUGAAGAGUCAAGACAUCCCAGACCAGCCCACAGCCAGGAUCAGCAGAGCCAUCUCCCACAGAGAACAGAAGAAUCAUCCUUCCACUCUACAGAUUUUGCUUUCAGAGUUUUCAGAGGAGACGGGAAGGUUGUUAUGGCUUCAGGAAGGUCCAAAACACAACUUAAAACCAAAAGCAAGAACACAGCGCGGCAAUAAUAUUGAAGCACACUGUGAGCAAGAACUGCCUGUGAACAGUUUUUGU